AAACUGGUGAAUGGUAUUCAACAGUUCUGGACUCCAUGGUUCAAAGUUUUAUAAUCUGCCCUCUUCUAACAUUUAGUUUGAACAAGUCCGUCCAUUCUGGUUUGUGGUUUAGCCUACUCUCGGACUCAGAGACAAAACAAGGAACUCAGAAUGGUCACUCCCAGAAGGUCAUUUGAAUAGCAGUUUUCUUUCAACCCUUAUCAGUCCAGCCGGGAGACAAAAGAAACAUUUAGUAAGGUUGUUUUAGGACCAGUCACAGAACUGUUCACUGAGAAACCAGUCAAAACGUUUGGGUGAUGGUUUGAAUUAUUCUGUGGGUGGUCUGGGGGUUACCAUGACGACGACUCAUCUCUUCCUGGACCCGAGGAUACGACAGAGACGAGAGAGGAGGACGGUGUUGUGUAGCGUCUGUCUGUUUCCCCUGAGGACGGUUAGUGACACACUCUCAAUACUUUACCGCUUAACUGUUGUGUGUCCCUCAUGAGUGUGGUUUUACUGUUGCGUGUUUGUUUUUACUGUUGUGUGUCCCUUGCUGGUUUAGUUUUACUCUUGUGUGUUCAUUUUUACUGUUAUGUGUCCCUUGCCGGUUUAGUUGUACUGUUGUGUGUUUGUUUGUACUGUUGUGGGUCCCUUGCUGGUUUAGUUGUACUGUUGUGUGUUUAGUGAUACUGUUGUGUUUUGGGUGUUGUGUGCUUGGUGAUAAUGUUGUGUGUUGCGUUCUACUGUUGUGUAUUUAGUGAUACUGUUGUGUGUUUGGUGUUGUGUGUUUGGUGAUACUGUUGUGUGUUUGAGGUUACUGUUGUGUGUUUGGCAAUACUGUUGUGUGUUUGGUGAUACUGUUGUGUGUUUGAGGUUACUGUUGUGUGUUUGUCAAUGCUGUUGUGUGUUUGGUGAUACUUUUUUGUGUUUGGUGAUACUGUUAGUAUCAUGUAGUAGGUAGAAAGCGUAACUUCAAAAUCACUGUUCAGUAGAUCCUUCCAUUGUGUUAGAAAACAUUGGCUUGCCAGAGGUAUCUCUGAUUUCCUGUCUGAAGCAACCCUCCCCAUCAGUGGAUCCAUGAAAAGAGGAACACUAGAGUAAGAGAAGAAGAAGAAAAGCUCCUACUAACCGACCCUCAGAAAGAGGAUGUGAAAGCAACCGCCUUCCUCCAUUUAGAGGGGUAUGGAAAAACUGAAUGUUUACUGGGAUUAAGGUCUGGUCUGCUGAGGCUGCUGGAGCGAACUGGGAGGGAAUGUCCUUCUGUUGGGUUUUAGUCAAACAUCUUCAGGGAAACAGACCGAUGGAGAAGCAGCAGUCUGGAGGAUAUUGUUAAAUGUCAAGGUUUUGAAACGUCACAGGAAACAUAUGGUGAGAGCUGAACAUGUCUCCAACAGUAACAGGUCUUUAGUCUGUAGGACCUCGCUACUCAACACACCAAACUAGAGACCAAACCCAACUUAAUAUCACAAAGGGCUGCAAUAAACAAUAUUUAGGGGAAAUAAUAUAAGUGGACUCAUUGACACAUUACUAAAACCCUACAUUUUGAUAAGUGAAGGCUGUGCGUCACUGAUGGCUAUCAUGCAGACGUUUGUGUAGAAUGCAUCAUUAAUGUUAUUAUGUCUUAUCAAUGCAUCCUGUCAGGAUGAUGAACCCAUACAGAUAACUGCCUGUAGAAAACAUUUACAAUAUCAGUAAAGAGGGGCAGGUUGGAGACCACAGGAAGUUACAGAAGCCAGGAUAUGUCAUCACUCCAGAGUUAGGAGGCUGUGAGCCUUCAGACACAUCCCUGCUUACAGGAACACUCUGAGGUCGGGUGAGUGGACUAACAUCUGAAACAUAUACUAACACACAAUAACACACAAACACAUGCAGCCUUACACAUGGACACAACCUUACGCACACACAAACAUGCAUAAUUACACACACACACACACACACCUACACAUACAAUUUUACACAUACCUCAUCCUCAUCUCCGUCCAGAAUUGCUGCUUGAUUAGCAUAAUGAUACCAUGCUAUGUUAGCAGCUUGACACCAUGCUAUGUUAGCAUAAUGACACCAUGCUAUGUUAGCAUAAUGACACCAUGCUAUGUUAGCAUAAUGACACCAUGCUCUGUUAGCAGCAUGACACCAUGCUAUGUUAGCAUAAUGGCACCAUGCUAUGUUAGCAUAAUGACACCAUGCUAUGUUAGCAUAAUGACACCAUGCUAUGUUAGCAGCAUGACACCAUGCUAUGUUAGCAUAAUGACAAUAUGCUAUGUUAGGAGCAUGACAACAUUCUAUGUUAGCAGCAUGACGCCAUGCUAUGUUAGCAUAAUGACAAUAUGCUAUGUUAGCAGCAUGACACCAUGCUAUGUUAGCAGCAUGACACCAUGCUAUGUUAGCAGCAUGACACCAUGCUAUGUUGGCAUAAUGACACCAUGCUAUGUUAGCAUAAUGACACCAUGCUAUGUUAGCAGCAUGACACCAUGCUAUGUUAGCAUAAUGGCACCAUGCUAUGUUAGCAUAAUGACACCAUGCUAUGUUAGCAUAAUGACACCAUGCUAUGUUAGCAGCAUGACACCAUGCUAUGUUAGCAUAAUGACAAUAUGCUAUGUUAGGAGCAUGACAACAUUCUAUGUUAGCAGCAUGACGCCAUGCUAUGUUAGCAUAAUGACAAUAUGCUAUGUUAGCAGCAUGACACCAUGCUAUGUUAGCAGCAUGAUGCAAUGCUAUGUUAGGAUAAUGAGAAUGUGGUCCCCAGUCCGCUACAGUUUUGACGUCAUGGCGCCUGAGUGGCUCACACUGAUGUCUGCGCUGCUGGCGUCUGCGACCGCAGCUGAUGGAGGUUAGUGGACCAGUCGGCAGUCACAUAGUCCCUUCUGUGAUGACAUCACCUCCUGUCUGUCAUCAAUCCUCCCUCUUCCUCUCCUCCUCCUCCUCCUCCUCCUGGAGGAGAUCUGACUCCUCCCUCUGCUCCUCCUCCUCCUCCUGAAGGAGGUCUGACUCCUCCCUCUCCUCCUCCUCCUCCUGAAGGAGGUCUGACUCCUCCCUCUGCUCCUCCUCCUCCUCCUCCUCCUCCUGAAGGAGGUCUGACUCCUCCCUCUCCUCCUCCUCCUCCUAGUGAAGGAGGUCUGACUCCUCCCUCUGCUCCUCCUCCUCCUCCUAGUGAAGGAGGUCUGACUCCUCCCUCUGCUCCUCCUCCUCCUAGUGAAGGAGGUCUGACUCCUCCCUCUGCUCCUCCUCUUCCUCCUGAAGGAGGACUGACUCCUCCCUCUCCUCCUCCUCCUCCUAGUGAAGGAGGUCUGAUUCCUCCCUCUA
ensembl:lncRNA